UGACACGACCCACACCAGUACCACGGCUGCCCGGGCGCGCCGUUUGGUGACCAGGGCGCCGUAGCGCAGCGGGUUCGUCACUGCCAGUGCCAACACCCGGACUUCUCUGCCACCAUGUGCCCACUCCUGCCGUGACCACCGCAGGCACUCAGCGCAACACUCCGUCGGCACUGAUUGCCUGGAACGCUGCACCAAUUUCCCCGGAAGGUCCUGCAGCGACGCUAGCAGAAAGGUCAUGAAGACAUCACCACCACCGCCUUACCUUGUCAGAGGAAAAGGGAACCCUCCCAGGGCCAGCAAAAUGAUCCCCACUAGCACCGCACCUACUUGAGGGUCCUUCUCUAACAUAUUGUAAGUCAAAGUAUCUUCUCUCUUUUCCCAAGACUUCGCGCCAAUGAGACUUGGCCCCUUUCCUUUCUAUUUCAUUCACCUGCCCUGCCCCUCCAGUUCUCCGUUGUCUUGUUGCUGUUCUUUUCAGUUAGCAGGGAAAUUUGAUGUUUUCCUGGAGUCUUUAUAUUUGCCUGCUCAUUUGAAUUUUGAUUAGGCUUCACACAGCCUAAGAUGCUGAAAGUUUCCAUUUCUCCAUCUUCCCCAUUGUCCCUUGCCGCUUCCACACACCUUUCCACCUAGAGAAUUUCUAGAUGGGUCCCUGCUUUUAAAAUUUCUUUAAAAUUGGGGGCACCCAGGUGGCUCAGUCGGGUAAGCAUGGGACUUCGGCUCAGGUCACGAUCUCAAGGUUGGUGAGUUUGAGCCCUGCCUUGGGCUCUGUGCAGACAGCUCAGAGCCUGGAGCCCUGCUUUGGAUUCUGUGUCUCCCUCUCUCUCUGGCCCUCCCCUGCUCUCUCUCUCUCUCUCUCUCAAAAAUAAACAUUAAAAAAAAUUAAAAAUUACCUUUAUUUUUUUAUGUUUAUUUAUUUAUUUUGGGAGAUCGAGUGAAUCCCAAGCCCGCUCCGUACUGUCAGGCGCCCCGACAUAACACCUUUAUUAAAUCCUAUCACAACCUGAUCCUGGAGCAGUCUUGCUUCCACCCGGGAUAACAACGGGACAAAAGGGGAAAAAAUGAUCAUGGAAAAUGCCUCCAGGGCCAUACCCUCACAUGUCUCUUUUGAACAGCUCUAUAUUUCAAAAGAACUCUGUAUGGUCUAAGCAAUCCCUCUGGGAGGCUGAGCCUGGGGUUGGGAGUAAGAAAGACUGGAGGGGACGUGAGGGCCUAAAAUUAUCCUUGAGGAGAAAGAACCAGUUUUGUCUCCCAGGGACCCAGCAGCCCACCCACAAGCAGGGUUUGUCAGUGGCCCUCAAGCAAAUGCCUUCCACGCCCAUGCAGUACCCCAAGCCUUUGGACCCCAAGUACCUUUGGAUCCAAGGAAAUGCCCACUAGGUGGAGGUGGAAAGCCUAUCCUCUGCCCUCCAUCCCCCAGUCCUGCCCAAGUGGGCAGGCCCUACUUGGCCUUGAGUCUUGGCUGUGCCCUCUUGCUGAUCAUCAGGAUGUCCACUUCCCAGUUGGGUUUUGCAACACCCCAGAGUGUUGCCAGUUAUCUCAAAGGGGUGUCGUAAGAUUCUCAAAGAGUAAUCUCUAAAACAAAUACAUAUCAUUCAGCAAUUUUUUCCAGGACAUCAGUUGGGGGCCAGGGUGGGGGAAGGGGGCUAGGAAGUCAAGCAACUUCAAAGGCUGUCAUUGCUUUAGGGGGUGACUUCUUUAUUCCGAACAAGUGUGUAAUAAUGUUUACAUUUUCCAAAAAGACAAGCUUUCCGAAGCCACAUGAGUGUGCUUGAGUUUGGGGACUGAUUAGGGCAAUAACCAAAGGAGAGUGUGAGCAGAGAGAUUCCAGGCCCUGUUAGUGAAGGCUUUUAUGAGUAAGCAGGGCACUGCCGAAGCACCUGGCAUGCUUCCCUCUACUCUGGCCCUUCCUGCUCUCAUUCCUAGUCUGGCCUCCCCCUGCCCAAGAGGCUGACAGCCAGAAGGGCUCCUUCUUUUGCCACUUUGGUCCAUGGAAUUAUUCUGUUUUUCUUGCUUUUGUGCUUUUCAACUUAAUCUUUUUUGUGUUUAUUUAUUUUUGAGAAGAGAGAGGGAGGGAGGGCAAGGGACAGAGAGAGAGGGAGACAGAGGAUCCAAAGCAGGCUCCACGAUGACAGCAGAGAGCCCCUCUCGGGGCUCAGACUCUGGAUCCAUGAGCUCAUGACCUGAGCCAAAGUCAGAGCUUAACCAACUGAGCCACUCAGGUGCCCCGGGUAUGCAUUCAACUUUAUUCAACCAUCAAAAUAUUCAAAAUUCAUGUAAUAGAAAGUUCCCUUUUUCCUGGUUUUCAGCACCCUCACAAGUACCCACCAUUAGUCUCUUUUUAUCCAUCUAGUGAUAUGUUAUAUGUAAAUAAAUCAAUACAAGUA